CCCAACCUUGGUAGUAACCAUGGGAAUUUUGCAGGUGUCCUCUAAAGAAAUAUUGUCUUACCUAACCACAAUGGCCUUGACCUUGGAGUACUGCAAGUAUUGAGGUUUCUUCAAGAUCAUGAAGCACUUAACAGUGGUCAUUAAUGGGGGACAUUUCUUAUAUCCAGCUAAGUGGUGUUGUGUAUCUUUACCACAUCAGACCCUCUGAUCUAUGUGUGUGUGUGUGUGUGUGUAUAAGUAAUGUGUAAGAUGUUGAUUGCCUUAGCUUUUUUUUACCAUGUGAUUCUUUUAAGGUGUGCUGGUGAGAAAUGAUAACGUUUUACUCAUUCUAACAAUCAUGUUAUCCUACUGGUAGCUAUUUUAGAGAAAAUGUCUGUUUAACCAUGUGAGUGUUGAUCAAUUUUUGGUGUUCCUGUAAUGAUCAUGGAGCUGUCCAUCACACUAGAAACUAUGGUAUUUUUUCUGAAAACCAUUCAAGAGGUGGUGGUGUUUCUAACAGUGGUGUAGGUGGUGGAGCACUGCAAAAUCCAGGUUGCUGUCAAGAAAUCAUGGUAAGCCUCAUGAUGACUGUUAACAGAACUUUGGUUGCAUCCAGGUAAGUGAUGAUAUGAGCCUAAAGCACCUUACAAACAAUCUGAUCUUCAAAUACUUAGAUUAGUGUGGAUGGUCCUAACAUUUGCAAUAGCA